UACGUAGGGACCGAGCGUUGUCCGGAAUCAUUGGGCGUAAAGAGCGUGUAGGCGGCCUUUUAAGUCCUGCGUGAAAUCCUGCGGCUCAACCGCAGACGGUCGUGGGAAACUGGAAGGCUAGAGUGCGGGAGAGGAGAGUGGAAUUCCCGGUGUAGUGGUGAAAUGCGUAGAGAUCGGGAGGAACACCCGUAGCGAAGGCGGCCACCUGGGCCGACCCUGACGCUGAGGCGCGAAGGCCAGGGGAGCGAACGGGG
rnacentral:rRNA from 1 species